rnacentral:SRP_RNA from 1 species
CUAUGCUAGACGGGGAGUUAGCGGUGCCCUGUAACCCGCAAUCCGCUAUAGCGGGGUCGAACACCCACCGAGGCAUAUCUUAUGGAAAGCCGAUGCCGAUAAGGGAUGUCGAUGGUAAGGUCUUGUGCAAUUGUGAGUUGUGAACCGUGUCAGGGCUUGACCGCAGCAGCACUAAGCAAAUUUCAUAAUGUGCCACAAGGAAGCUUUAUCGGAGUUACCUGUCGGUAUGCCGAUUCGGUAAGAUAUGUCGGAGUGGGCGCAUUU